rnacentral:rRNA from 1 species
UACGAAGGGGGCUAGCGUUGUUCGGAAUUACUGGGCGUAAAGGGCGUGUAGGCGGUCCGCUAAGACAGGUGUGAAAUUCCUGGGCUCAACCCAGGACGUGCGCCUGUGACUGACGGACUUGAGUCCGGGAGAGGAUGGUGGAACUCCCAGUGUAGAGGUGAAAUUCGUAGAUAUUAGGAAGAACACCAGUGGCGAAGGCGGCUCACUGGCCCGGAACUGACGCUCAUGAGCGAAAGCGUGGGGAGCAAACAGG